GUUGUACAUUCACCGUUUACAAGUUUUGUAUUUUGCUCAAGAAGGAAGUCCAUCUUCUCCUUUUCAUAUUUCCGAACGGAUGCUUUUACAGUUAGAGUUAUCAUCUUUAUGUAAGAUGUUGUUUGCAGUUUCAAUAACACAGCGACAAAGACAAAAAUGUUAGGAUGGCUAGCGUAAAACUGCUCGUUCAGGUGGACAUGAAAAGACUCGGCACCAUUCGUUGUUCUCUUUUCCUCGGUGUCAGGAGGUGAUGCC
rnacentral:lncRNA from 1 species